UGCCACUUCUUCUUCUCAUUGAUCAAUAUGUCCCUUAAUGCCAAAUUAGCUUAACAAUUUCUGCCAGACAAGUGCAGAAUAAGAACACUCGAAUAAGAGGUAGGUAUGUGUUUUCUUCAAGGUCACCUGUGCAGUAGAGAUUUCAGUCCUCGUCGUAUUAACAUGUCCACUCUUGCUAGCCUUUUUCUGAAUUGUCAUCCAUAAAAUGAAUUGACAUCUAGGAAUAAUGUCUGUUAGCAUGAUUAAUAAUUUUCGAGGAAAUUUUGGGUGUUGUGGAUGGAAUUUUGCGUUAUGCUUCCUUGUCAUAACCCGAUAGUUCAUUUAUAGUAUUACCCUUAAUUUCUGUAUUCCGAGACCUUGAAUAGCUCCGUUAGCCUUCUUCAAUUUGUGUGCGCAGUCUGUGUCCUUACUCCGGAAGGUUUUUAUGAGAAAGUUGAAAAAAAUGUCAUGAAAUCGUGCCUUAAAACUCAUUUGAGUUGACUAUGGUCAACGUUUUGUGUACACAGACCCGAAUUAGUAUUUUGACGGUCCCGGUGGGUCCAUAUCAUAAUUUGGGACUUGGGCGUAUGACCGGAAUCGAAUUCGGAAGUCCCUAACUUGAUUUAUCAUAGUUUGUUGAAAACUAGAAGCUUAAAGUUUUAAAAACCUCAUAAGUUUGACCGUAGUUUGACUUUGUUGUUACCGGGUUUGAAUUUCGAUUUCGGAACUUGGUAUGAGUUUAUUACAUUAUUUAUGACUUGUCUGCAAAAUUUGGUGUAAAACGGAGUUGAUUUGACAUGAUUCGGUUGAGAAAUUUCAUAUUCUUAAGUUUCAUUGAGAAAUUCAUUCGUUUUGGUGUCCGAUUCAUAGUUCUAGGUAUUAUUUUGGUGUCUUGACCACGCGAGCGAGUUCUUAUAAUAUUUUUGGACUUGUGUGCAUGUUUUCUUUGGAGCCCCAAUGCUUGGGUGAGUUUCAGAUAGGUUGCGGAUAUUUUUGAACUUUAGGAAAUGCUGGUUUAGCUUCUGCUGGUUUCUGGUGCACGCUUCUUCACGAUCGCGAAGAGUCGUUUGGGACAGGGGAGGAGAUUGUUCUUCGCAAAUGCGACUGUUCCUCCGCGAACGCGAAGCAUUGUGGGUUUGGUGGAGUUGGGCUUGUGUUACGCGAACGCGAUGGUCAGAGGGAGGAACUAUCACUAACGCGGAGCACUUCUCGCGAACGCGUACAUUUGGGCCAAUGUGCAUCGCGAACACGACAGGCCCUUCGCGAACGCGAAGAAGGCCUGAUGCCCAGACCUUAAAACAUUUCAAACACGGAAUUCACCCAUUUUUCACCAUCUUUAUUUGAGCUCGGCCUAGAGGCGACUUGGAGAAGAAAUUUCAUUACCCUUACAUAUGUUAGUGUACUUUAACUUAUUUCUUCCGUUUCCAUCAUCGCCCAUUGAUUUCUAGCCUUAAUCUUUGUUCUUUCGUGGUAGAAAAUUAGGGAUUAGUAAAGAAUUGAGGGGGGGGGGGAGGGUUGGGGAUUUGCAAAUUUGGGAUUUAGACCUCAAAUUGAGGUCAGAUUUCGAAAAUAAUUACAUUAAUCGGGCUCGGAAAUUAACGGGUAAAUGGAUUUUAGUCCGAACCUCCGAUUUUGACCAAGCGGGCCUGGUAUUGACUUUUGUUGAAUUUUUUAGGAAAGUAUAAAGAUUUUAAAUUUAUGUAUUGUAAUUGAUUUCCCUAGCAUUAUUUGAUGUCAUUGAGUCGAUUUUGGUUAGAUUCGGUUGGUUCGAAGGCAGGUUUAGAGGGCCCUGGUAGAGCUUUGAUUUGCUUGCAUAGCAAGUUAAGUGUUGGUUCUAACCUUGAUUUGAGGGAAUUAGGAACCCUUGAGCUAUGUGCUAUGUGAAAUUCAUGUGUAGCAGUGUAUAUGCAAGGUGACGAUUAUAUAUAUAUGCGCCAUCAAAAUACUUGUUUCCAUGCUUUUCCCCCCGUAUUUUAUUAAGUAUUUCAUUCCAUGUCUUAACUAGUACAUGCUUAAUUGCCUCAUAUACCUUAAUUUGCUAUUUAUCAUUUAUUAUUCUUGUAUUAAAAUGUUAGUUUCUCCCAUGCUUCCAUGUUUAAUUAACUUGCUUGUAUUCUUUAGUUGUCAUUUAUUUGACUUAUCUUGCUUCUUAGUAAUAAUUUUAGCAAAUUCUUGAUUUGGUACCAGAUUUCCCUUAUGGCUCUACUUUCAUAUUCGUUAAUGAUAGAGAUUCUUAUGAUUUGAGUUGUUGAAUUGAUUUCAUUUAUUGAUUUGUGUUUAUGAAUUGGGUUACAUGCUGCAACAGGUGGAAUAAGGGAAGAUUGAUAUUAAUAUGGUGGGAUCGGGUUGCAUGCCUCAACAGAUGGAAUAAAGGAGGAUUGAUAUGAUGAAAUAAGGGAGGAUUAUGAUAUUGAUUCUAAUUUUAUGGUGGGAUCGAGUUGUGCGCCUCAACAUUAUUUUACUUGUUAUUAUUGAUAUUUACAUGAAGGAAUAAGGGAGGAUUGUGUUUGUACGGUGGGAUCGGGUUGCACGCCGCAACAAUUUAUGUGUUGGUAUUCCUUGCUGCAUUAUGUUGGGUUCGGU
rnacentral:lncRNA from 1 species